rnacentral:rRNA from 1 species
AGAGUUUGAUCCUGGCUCAGGACGAACGCUGGCGGCGCGCCUAACACAUGCAAGUCGAACGAGCGAGAGAGAGCUUGCUUUCUCGAGCGAGUGGCGAACGGGUGAGUAACGCGUGAGGAACCUGCCUCAAAGAGGGGGACAACAGUUGGAAACGACUGCUAAUACCGCAUAAGCCCACGACCCGGCAUCGGGUAGAGGGAAAAGGAGCAAUCCGCUUUGAGAUGGCCUCGCGUCCGAUUAGCUAGUUGGUGAGGUAACGGCCCACCAAGGCGACGAUCGGUAGCCGGACUGAGAGGUUGAACGGCCACAUUGGGACUGAGACACGGCCCAGACUCCUACGGGAGGCAGCAGUGGGGAAUAUUGCACAAUGGGGGAAACCCUGAUGCAGCGACGCCGCGUGGAGGAAGAAGGUCUUCGGAUUGUAAACUCCUGUUGUUGAGGAAGAUAAUGACGGUACUCAACAAGGAAGUGACGGCUAACUACGUGCCAGCAGCCGCGGUAAAACGUAGGUCACAAGCGUUGUCCGGAAUUACUGGGUGUAAAGGGAGCGCAGGCGGGAAGACAAGUUGGAAGUGAAAUCCAUGGGCUCAACCCAUGAACUGCUUUCAAAACUGUUUUUCUUGAGUAGUGCAGAGGUAGGCGGAAUUCCCGGUGUAGCGGUGGAAUGCGUAGAUAUCGGGAGGAACACCAGUGGCGAAGGCGGCCUACUGGGCACCAACUGACGCUGAGGCUCGAAAGUGUGGGUAGCAAACAGGAUUAGAUACCCUGGUAGUCCACACCGUAAACGAUGAUUACUAGGUGUUGGAGGAUUGACCCCUUCAGUGCCGCAGUUAACACAAUAAGUAAUCCACCUGGGGAGUACGACCGCAAGGUUGAAACUCAAAGGAAUUGACGGGGGCCCGCACAAGCAGUGGAGUAUGUGGUUUAAUUCGACGCAACGCGAAGAACCUUACCAAGUCUUGACAUCCUGCGACGAUGCUGGAAACAGUAUUUUCCUUCGGGACGCAGAGACAGGUGGUGCAUGGUUGUCGUCAGCUCGUGUCGUGAGAUGUUGGGU